rnacentral:rRNA from 1 species
AGUUGUCGGGUCUUAAUUGACUUGGUAAACGCAGCUAACGCGUGAAGUAGACCGCCUGGGGAGUACGGUCGCAAGAUUAAAACUCAAAGGAAUUGACGGGGACCCGCACAAGCGGUGGAUGAUGUGGAUUUAAUUCGAUGCAACGCGAAAAACCUUACCUACCCUUGACAUGUACGGAAGGCCGAAGAGAUUUGGCUGUGCUCGAAAGAGAACCGUAACACAGGUGCUGCAUGGCUGUCGUCAGCUCGUGUCGUGAGAUGUUGGGUUAAGUCCCGCAACGAGCGCAACCCUUGUCAUUAGUUGCUACGAAAGGGCACUCUAAUGAGACUGCCGGUGACAAACCGGAGGAAGGUGGGGAUGACGUCAAGUCCUCAUGGCCCUUAUGGGUAGGGCUUCACACGUCAUACAAUGGUACAUACAGAGGGCCGCCAACCCGCGAGGGGGAGCUAAUCCCAGAAAGUGUAUCGUAGUCCGGAUUGUAGUCUGCAACUCGACUACAUGAAGUUGGAAUCGCUAGUAAUCGCGGAUCAGCAUGUCGCGGUGAAUACGUUCCCGGGUCUUGUACACACCGCCCGUCACACCAUGGGAGCGGGUUCUGCCAGAAGUUAGUUAGCCUUAACCGCAAG